AGAGUUUGAUCCUGGCUCAGAAUGAACGUUUAUAGUUGGCCUAACACAUGCAAAUUAAAUAAAUUUGUUUAAUUACAAAUUAAUAGUGAACGGGUGAGUAACAUAUAGAAAUUAACCUUAAGAAAUUGUUUAAUCCAUGAAAAAAUAUUUGUCUUGAGAAGAGUCUAUACAAGAUUAGGUUGUUGGUCAGUUAAAAGCUUACCAAACCUAUGAUCUUUAGUUGGUCUUUGAGGAUGAGCAACCACAUUGGAACUGAGAACGGUCCAAACUUCAUUUGAAGGCAGCAGUGGGGAAUUUUGGGCAAUGAGCGAAAGCUUGACCCAGCUAAACUAUGUGAGUGAUGAAAAUGUAUAAUUGUAAAACUCUUUACCAAACAAAACAUCGAUUUGUUUAAGAAAAGUCCUGGCUAAUUUCGUGCCAGCAGCCGCGGUAAAACGGGAAGGGCAAACGUUAUUCGGAUUAAUUGGGCGUAAAGCAUAUGUAGGUGGCAAAUUAAGUUUCAAUUUAAAGUUUAAAGUUUAUUUUUAAAAAAAUUGUUAAACUAAUUUUCUAGAGUUCAGAAGAAGAUUAUGGAACUUUAAAUGUAACAGUAAAAUGUGUUGAUAUUUAAAGGAACCUCUAUAGCGAAAGCAAUAGUCUAGACUGUAACUAACACUGAGGUAUGAAAGCGUGGGUAGCAAAAGGGAUUAGAUACCCCCUUAGUCCACGCCCUUAACGAUGAGUGCUAUUUUUUGGUUUUUCAGAAAAACAACUAACGUGUUAAGCACUCCACCUGGGAACUACGAUCGCAAGAUUAAAACUCAAAGGAAUUGACGGGGACCUGCACAAGUAGUGGAGCAUGUGGUUUAAAUCGAUAAUACGCGCAAAACCUUACCAAUCUUUGUAUAAUAUUAUUAAAUGUUACAGGAGUUGCAUGGCUGUCGUCAGUCCGUGCCGUGAGGCGUUUGGUUUAUUCCAACAAACGGACGAAACUUUUUUAUGCUAAAUAAGUAUAUACCGCUAAGGAUAUCUUAGAGGAAGACAAAAACAACGUCAAGUCCUUAUGACCCUGAUAGGUUGGGCUACUUUCAUGUGCUACAAUAAAAUUUUCAAUUAGAAGCCAAAUCGCAAGUUUUAGCAAUACUUUAAAAAGUUUUAUUCGGAUUGUUCUCUGCAACUCGA
rnacentral:rRNA from 1 species